rnacentral:rRNA from 1 species
GUGUCAGCCGCCGCGGUAAUACGAAGGGGGCUAGCGUUGUUCGGAAUCACUGGGCGUAAAGCGCACGUAGGCGGAUCUUUAAGUCAGGGGUGAAAUCCCGAGGCUCAACCUCAGAACUGCCUUUGAUACUGGGGAUCUCGAGUCCGGGAGAGGUGAGUGGAACUGCGAGUGUAGAGGUGAAAUUCGUAGAUAUUCGCAAGAACACCAGUGGCGAAGGCGGCUCACUGGCCCGGAACUGACGCUGAGGUGCGAAAGCGUGGGGAGCAAACAGGAUUAGAAGCCCCUGUAGUCC